rnacentral:rRNA from 1 species
AGCAGCCGCGGUAAUUCCAGCUCCAAUAGCGUAUAUUAAAGUUGUUGCAGUUAAAAAGCUCGUAGUUGAAUUUCGGGAUCAAUAAUGCUGGUCGUGCCAUUGGUACGUACUAGUAUUGUUGGUUUCUUCCUUCUGAUGAAUCAUGAUGUCAUUAAUUUGAUGUCAUGGGGAAUCAGGACUGUUACUUUGAAAAAAUUAGAGUGUUUAAAGCAGGCUCGCGCUUGAAUACAUUAGCAUGGAAUAAUGAAAUAGGACGUUUGAUUCUAUUUUGUUGGUUUCUAGGAUUGACGUA